rnacentral:lncRNA from 1 species
AUGGUACGCUUGCUCAGAACGCAGCUCUGGCGGGGAUCCCCGUGGUUCCUCUUGAGGAGUCUUUGUGUUUCUGUGGUCGAGAACGUCUCUGCCACAGCCAGGACUCCGCCUACAGCACCACCUCUUCCUCUACUUCCUCCUCCUCGCCUCCGUUCAGCCAGACAGGACUGCCCGCUCAUUGCUCCUCCCACUUCUCCAGGUAUAACAGCUCUGUGGUGACGACCAGAGGGCUUUUCCAAACCUGAGCACAGAUCACAGAAACACCAAUAAAACAUGCAUAUCUGUUAUAGAAACAAAGCUCUGAAUCCUGUGUGUUUUGUACUGAUAUCCAAAAUAUAAAUGUAGCAGAAACGUUCGAGUUUAAGUAUUUCUUUGGUUGAACUUGAGCCGCUAGUGAAGAGUAAGAAGACUUUAACAGCUUUAAAGCUUCUUCCAUAAAAACAAAAUACGAAAGGAAGAAAUAAAGGUGGAGACAGGGUCAAUGAAGGACAUAAGAACUGUGAGCACCAGGAGUAAAAGUGAAAAAUAAAACAAAUAAAAAAGCAAACAAAUAAAAAAACAGAUGAUUUGACCCUAAACAUGUUAAACGCCCCUUCUGAGAAGAGAAAACACGCACUUACUCGGGCUUGAGUGUCCAUUAAUGGGCCCAUUGUUCUGCUUGUCUUAUCAGAUUUCAUUAACUUUAGGUUUUAAGGUGGUAAAGUUGUGCUCAGGGACAGGAAGGCUCACAAAGCUUCCUAUUGAUGAAAUUCUAAGAAAAAGUCUAUUAAUCAUGAUCCUUUCUAAGAAUUUACCCCUAAAGUUAGAAUAGUAAAUCCUGGUAAGGAUAAAUGUUAUUCCCAAAGCAUCCUCGCCCCCAGAAGAGUUCAGGUGGAAACCUGUUAGGAGCAGGUAGGAAGGAUUUUAAGAGCUUUGAAACUUUUAAGGAGAGACAACAUGCUGCCAGUGUUUCCUCUCCAAGAGAGCAAACAAAGUAUUUGCAGAAUCUGAUAAAAUUUAUCUUGUUUAAGCUUUAGAGCAGAGGUGUCAAACAUAAGGCCUGGGGGCCAGAAUGAGCCCAACUGGACAGCUUUGGAAAAUGUUAAGGAAGGUAUAAAUUUUGGACUUUUAAGUGUAUUUUCACGAGUUUUACAGCUUUGGCUACUGAUAAAGACCUUCACCAUUCAUACAACAC